CUUCUCCCUGUGUGCAAAGGGGAUUAGCUGGGCACUUGCUCAGCUGAACUACCUCUGAAUGCACAUUCAAACUUCCAUCGAGAAUGAGCUCUUUCUCCCCCCUUCUAGAGGACCCUUCAACAAUUGAACCGCUGUAGACAACAGAUGGCAGAUAAUCACUUGAACAGCCUCCAAUUUUGUCAGGAAAGGAAAAGUGAUCAUCCAACUCUCUCUUACAGUAGUAAUUUGAUACAGAAGAUGGAAACUGCUCACCAAAAAAGACAGAGAAGUUGAUGAUGGUGGUGAGGAAACAAGAAGAUCCUGGAUCUCUGACGUCCAUGGAACUUUCAUAACAUCGUUGCCACUGCUACUUCAAUGAUCCCUUUAUGUGAAAUAAAGUAAAUCACUAUCUUGAUAUUUCCAGUUAUCUUGGAUUUCUCAAAUUAUACGUCUUAAAUGACAAAGCAUCAGAAAGGUUAAGUUUGUGACAACAUUUUCAACAGAAAAGUUAGGAAUACACUGAAUUUUUAAACAAGAACGGAUAUUAUUAUCUCUGCUUGCAAUAUUAUAAAUGUCAUUCAGGGAGUUAAUUUUUAGAGACAAAUGAUAAAUAAUAAGUAGACGCACUUUAUAUAUGUUUUCAGAUUCUUUAACAAAAGCUGUUUUUCCUGUCUUUAGAUAAAAUUUGGCAAAAAAUACUUAUAAAGUAGUAAU
rnacentral:lncRNA from 1 species